rnacentral:rRNA from 1 species
UACGUAGGGUGCAAGCGUUAAUCGGAAUUACUGGGCGUAAAGCGUGCGCAGGCGGUUAUGUAAGACAGAUGUGAAAUCCCCGGGCUCAACCUGGGAACUGCAUUUGUGACUGCAUAGCUAGAGUACGGUAGAGGGGGAUGGAAUUCCGCGUGUAGCAGUGAAAUGCGUAGAUAUGCGGAGGAACACCGAUGGCGAAGGCAAUCCCCCCUGGACCUGUACUGACGCUCAUGCACCGAAAGCGUGGGGAGCAAACGAGGA